UUUAGGGGCUUUAUACUUUUGCUCCCCUACAUUUUUAAAUCCUGUAUUGUAUUUAUUGCUGUUUAUCUGAACCCUAUAAAGUUACUGAGAUGAAGAAAAAUAAUUAUUUGUCAAUGAAAAUAUUGCACAACUUUGUUACAGCCAGCAUAACUGGAACACCAACCACUGAUGUUUGGAGAUUAAUUCAUUAAGGACAGAAUGCAUGCAUGAACUGAGGUACUACAAUGUCAUACAGAAUGAGCACUUUUACUUUUGAUACUUAAGUAUAUUCACUAUGACUAUGGAAUACUUUUAUACCUUUUUGAGGACUUGUGAUAAAUAUCUAUUUCUACUUUUCUUGAGUAAGGGACCAUUGUACUAUAUUUAAAGUAACUAUCAGCUGGAUGGUGCACUGGAAAAGUUGUUGCACUUAAAACAGAAGGUACAGUAUUCAAAAUGUGCUCAGGGCAUCCUUUUUUAUCUCCUGAGGACAAAAAAGAGCCAUUAAUAAGACUGAGCAAAGCAUCUCCCUCAAGUCUCUUCCUAUGAUGUCUUAGCCAGAACCUGGGCAAAUGUGGAGGGAACACAGACAGUUCUCCUGACAGUGUUGAGGUCCCCCUUAAACCUCCGCUGCCCCAUAUACAAAUACACACAAAGUGGCCUGUACAGUUCCACAGAUUCAAGACUCUCUAAAACCACCAUUUUUCUUUAUACGUCUAAAAUUGUAUAGAUUUUGUUACUAGCUGCAUUUCAGAUUUAGAUGAAUAAAAUACAGUCAACAAUUAAAUUACGGUGUUUGCUUAUGGUACUUUUAUACUUUUAGUUAAGUAAAAUUUUAAAUAUAUGAAAUUUUACUUCUAACAGUAUGUAAAGCCUGGUGUUUCUACUGUCACUGAUAAAUGUGUUUCUUGCUUUAUUUUAAACACUGUAGCCUGUAACACAGGCCUCUGUGUCAGAGCUGAGAAGUGGAGAAUAUUGUGGUGACUUUGCAGCCUCUCGGCUCAGGCUUAAUUAAUGGGCCAUCAGCGGAGGGACACGCCCCCCUGCACCUGGAACUUGCCCCCCUCCCCCAACCUUUCAGCAGCGCAGCAGAGAGGAGCAGAAGAAAACAGAGAGUGGCCGGAGUUUGGAGAGAUUUGUUAGCAGGAGUUUGGAGAGAUUUGUUUGAAAAAUUUAAAGACGAAGACUUCAUCUUAACCGACGCAAGAGGCAAUUUCAGAGCAGGUCCAGGAAGAGAUCGCUAUGAGUCAAACACAGAUGGAGGUUCUGACCCCUGCGCUGAGUUAGAGAUAAGGAGAACUCACUGAUGAUGAGACCCCCAGGCUUCCACAGAAGAACAAAGUCAAACAUGAGAGAGCAAGAGAGCAUGGAGUGAGGUAGAGAGAACUGCGAUGUAGAGUGCCUGGA